GACGAACGCUGGCGGCGUGCCUAAUACAUGCAAGUCGAGCGGAUGACGGAGGAGCUUGCUCCUCCUGAUUCAGCGGCGGACGGGUGAGUAACACGUGGGCAACCUGCCCUGUAGAUUAGGAUAACUCCGGGAAACCGGGGCUAAUACCGAAUAAUCCUUCGGACCUCAUGGUCCGAUGUUGAAAGACGGUUUCGGCUGUCACUACAGGAUGGGCCCGCGGCGCAUUAGCUAGUUGGUGAGGUAACGGCUCACCAAGGCCACGAUGCGUAGCCGACCUGAGAGGGUGAUCGGCCACACCGGGACUGAGACACGGCCCAGACUCCUACGGGAGGCAGCAGUAGGGAAUCUUCCACAAUGGACGAAAGUCUGAUGGAGCAACGCCGCGUGAGUGAAGAAGGUUCUCGGAUCGUAAAACUCUGUUGUGAGGGAAGAACAAGUACCGGAGUAACUGCCGGUGCCUUGACGGUACCUCAUUAGAAAGCCACGGCUAACUACGUGCCAGCCGCCGCGGUAA
rnacentral:rRNA from 1 species